GUGGGGAAUAUUGGACAAUGGGCGAAAGCCUGAUCCAGCCAUGCCGCGUGUGUGAAGAAGGUCUUCGGAUUGUAAAGCACUUUAAGUUGGGAGGAAGGGCAUUAACCUAAUACGUUAGUGUUUUGACGUUACCGACAGAAUAAGCACCGGCUAACUUCGUGCCAGCAGCCGCGGUAAUACGAAGGGUGCAAGCGUUAAUCGGAAUUACUGGGCGUAAAGCGCGCGUAGGUGGUUCGUUAAGUUGGAUGUGAAAGCCCCGGGCUCAACCUGGGAACUGCAUCCAAAACUGGCGAGCUAGAGUACGGUAGAGGGUGGUGGAAUUUCCUGUGUAGCGGUGAAAUGCGUAGAUAUAGGAAGGAACACCAGUGGCGAAGGCGACCACCUGGACUGAUACUGACACUGAGGUGCGAAAGCGUGGGGAGCAAACAGGAUUAGAAACCCUUGUAGUCC
rnacentral:rRNA from 1 species